rnacentral:rRNA from 1 species
GGUCUUGACAUCCCGGAGACCUUAGGAACUAGGGGUGCUUCCAUCUGGAAGAAUCUGGAGACAGGUGCUGCAUGGCUGUCGUCAGCUCGUGUCGUGAGAUGUUGGGUUAAGUCCCGCAACGAGCGCAACCCUUGCCUUUAGUUGCCAGCAGUUCGGCUGGGCACUCUAAAGGGACUGCCGGUGUUAAACCGGAGGAAGGUGGGGAUGACGUCAAGUCCUCAUGGCCUUUAUGACCAGGGCUACACACGUACUACAAUGGCCGAUACAAAGGGCAGCGACACUGCGAGGUGAAGCCAAUCCCGUAAAAUCGGUCUCAGUCCGGAUUGGAGUCUGCAACUCGACUCCAUGAAGUUGGAAUCGCUAGUAAUCGUGGAUCAGCAUGCCACGGUGAAUACGUUCCCGGGCCUU